GGGAUUGUAGUUCAAUUGGUUAGAGCAUCGCCCUGUCACGGCGAACGUUGCGGGUUCGAGUCCCGUCAGUCCCG
rnacentral:tRNA from 1 species